GGUUAAGCGACUAAGCGUACACGGUGGAUGCCCUGGCAGUCAGAGGCGAUGAAGGACGUGCUAAUCUGCGAAAAGCGUCGGUAAGGUGAUAUGAACCGUUACAGCCGGCGAUGUCCGAAUGGGGAAACCCAGUGCAAUUCGUUGCACUAUCGUUAACUGAAUACAUAGGUUAACGAGGCGAACCGGGGGAACUGAAACAUCUAAGUACCCCGAGGAAAAGAAAUCAACCGAGAUUCCCCCAGUAGCGGCGAGCGAACGGGGAGCAGCCCAGAGUCUGAAUCAGCUUGUGUGUUAGUGGAACGGUCUGGAAAGUCCGACGGUACAGGGUGAUAGUCCCGUACACCAAAAUGCACAGGCUGUGAACUCGAAGAGUAGGGCGGGACACGUGGUAUCCUGUCUGAAUAUGGGGGGACCAUCCUCCAAGGCUAAAUACUCCUGACUGACCGAUAGUGAACCAGUACCGUGAGGGAAAGGCGAAAAGAACCCCGGCGAGGGGAGUGAAAAAGAACCUGAAACCGUGUACGUACAAGCAGUGGGAGCACCUUCGGGUGUGACUGCGUACCUUUUGUAUAAUGGGUCAGCGACUUAUAUUCUGUAGCAAGGUUAACCGUAUAGGGGAGCCGCAGGGAAACCGAGUCUUAACUGGGCGUUAAGUUGCAGGGUAUAGACCCGAAACCCGGUGAUCUAGCCAUGGGCAGGUUGAAGGUUGGGUAACACUAACUGGAGGACCGAACCGACUAAUGUUGAAAAAUUAGCGGAUGACUUGUGGCUGGGGGUGAAAGGCCAAUCAAACCGGGAGAUAGCUGGUUCUCCCCGAAAGCUAUUUAGGUAGCGCCUCGUGAACUCAUCUUCGGGGGUAGAGCACUGUUUCGGCUAGGGGGUCAUCCCGACUUACCAACCCGAUGCAAACUACGAAUACCGAAGAAUGUUAUCACGGGAGACACACGGCGGGUGCUAACGUCCGUCGUGAAGAGGGAAACAACCCAGACCGCCAGCUAAGGUCCCAAAGUCAUGGUUAAGUGGGAAACGAUGUGGGAAGGCACAGACAGCCAGGAUGUUGGCUUAGAAGCAGCCAUCAUUUAAAGAAAGCGUAAUAGCUCACUGGUCGAGUCGGCCUGCGCGGAAGAUGUAACGGGGCUAAACCAUGCACCGAAGCUGCGGCAGCGACACUAUGUGUUGUUGGGUAGGGGAGCGUUCUGUAAGCCUGCGAAGGUGUGCUGUGAGGCAUGCUGGAGGUAUCAGAAGUGCGAAUGCUGACAUAAGUAACGAUAAAGCGGGUGAAAAGCCCGCUCGCCGGAAGACCAAGGGUUCCUGUCCAACGUUAAUCGGGGCAGGGUGAGUCGACCCCUAAGGCGAGGCCGAAAGGCGUAGUCGAUGGGAAACAGGUUAAUAUUCCUGUACUUGGUGUUACUGCGAAGGGGGGACGGAGAAGGCUAUGUUAGCCGGGCGACGGUUGUCCCGGUUUAAGCAUGUAGGCUGAUUGUCCAGGCAAAUCCGGAUAAUCAAGGCUGAGGUGUGAUGACGAGGCACUACGGUGCUGAAGUAACAAAUGCCCUGCUUCCAGGAAAAGCCUCUAAGCAUCAGGUAACAUUAAAUCGUACCCCAAACCGACACAGGUGGUCAGGUAGAGAAUACCAAGGCGCUUGAGAGAACUCGGGUGAAGGAACUAGGCAAAAUGGUGCCGUAACUUCGGGAGAAGGCACGCUGGUGUGUAGGUGAAGUCCCUGCGGAUGGAGCUGAGACCAGUCGAAGAUACCAGCUGGCUGCAACUGUUUAUUAAAAACACAGCACUGUGCAAACACGAAAGUGGACGUAUACGGUGUGACGCCUGCCCGGUGCCGGAAGGUUAAUUGAUGGGGUUAUCCGUAAGGAGAAGCUCUUGAUCGAAGCCCCGGUAAACGGCGGCCGUAACUAUAACGGUCCUAAGGUAGCGAAAUUCCUUGUCGGGUAAGUUCCGACCUGCACGAAUGGCGUAAUGAUGGCCAGGCUGUCUCCACCCGAGACUCAGUGAAAUUGAACUCGCUGUGAAGAUGCAGUGUACCCGCGGCAAGACGGAAAGACCCCGUGAACCUUUACUAUAGCUUGACACUGAACAUUGAGCCUUGAUGUGUAGGAUAGGUGGGAGGCUUUGAAGCGUGGACGCCAGUCUGCGUGGAGCCAACCUUGAAAUACCACCCUUUAAUGUUUGAUGUUCUAACGUUGGCCCCUGACCGGGGUUGCGGACAGUGUCUGGUGGGUAGUUUGACUGGGGCGGUCUCCUCCCAAAGCGUAACGGAGGAGCACGAAGGUUAGCUAAUCCUGGUCGGACAUCAGGAGGUUAGUGCAAUGGCAUAAGCUAGCUUGACUGCGAGCGUGACGGCGCGAGCAGGUGCGAAAGCAGGUCAUAGUGAUCCGGUGGUUCUGAAUGGAAGGGCCAUCGCUCAACGGAUAAAAGGUACUCCGGGGAUAACAGGCUGAUACCGCCCAAGAGUUCAUAUCGACGGCGGUGUUUGGCACCUCGAUGUCGGCUCAUCACAUCCUGGGGCUGAAGUAGGUCCCAAGGGUAUGGCUGUUCGCCAUUUAAAGUGGUACGCGAGCUGGGUUUAGAACGUCGUGAGACAGUUCGGUCCCUAUCUGCCGUGGGCGCUGGAGAAUUGAGGGGGGCUGCUCCUAGUACGAGAGGACCGGAGUGGACGCAUCACUGGUGUUCGGGUUGUCAUGCCAAUGGCACUGCCCGGUAGCUAAAUGCGGAAGAGAUAAGUGCUGAAAGCAUCUAAGCACGAAACUUGCCCCGAGAUGAGUUCUCCCUGAGACUUUAAGUCUCCUGAAGGAACGUUGAAGACGACGACGUUGAUAGGCCGGGUGUGUAAGCGCAGCGAUGCGUUGAGCUAACCGGUACUAAUGAACCGUGAGGCUUAACCUU
rnacentral:rRNA from 1 species